rnacentral:lncRNA from 13 species
CUGGGGAUUAGCCCCGGCCAGAUGUCCCAUCACAGAAGUUAGGAGUUGAAGUAGAUGACAUAUGUGUUUGGAGAAGUGAUAUGUCUCAUUCUUUUCAGCUCUAGCUUGUGGUAAGUUUCUGAAAGCAAGUAAGAGAAGAGGAAGGGGCAUUUGUGAUCUGUCAUGUAUAGAAGACUACCACAUAGGCAGGUGGUCACACCUGAAAGCAUGUCCCCUGAACCCCGUUACCUAAUGUCAUAAGCUGAAUGUCCAAAGCUCCUCUCCCAGCUCUGAUUGGCCUGGCUACUAUGAUGAGUGAAGUCCACCAGAGAAGACACUGUGGCCUCGUUUCUCAUCCUGCUGUCCCCAGGAGUAACACAGAAGCGACUAGUAACACAACAGCAUUGUCCUCACACACACAGGCCUGCUUUGUUUCCCCACCACACAGAGCAGUGGCUGUAACAAUGCCCUUGAAAGACACGUUACCCUCCUUUCUCCAACGUUGCACUUGUUUUUUAGUUCUGGAAUCAGCUAAACGAUGAUUUCCUGCAGGGGGUAUCAGUCUCUCAUAUUUUCUGCCUGCUUCUCUGACAGCCUUCAGGCCCCAGGUCAGUGAGUAGCAAGCCAGGCCUAGAGAGCUCUGGACCCACGGGAACAUCCCCUUCUUGGAAGGUGGGAAAGGCCAUGAUGUUUCACCUCUCUCCAGCAAGCUGGGACCUGCCCUGGAAGAAGAAACCAGACCAGGCUGGAGAGAGAUCCCUCACCCCUUCCACUGUGAGGACAUAGCAGGAAGGCAUCAUCUACAAGCCAGAAAGUGGGCCCUCAAUAGACACCGAAUCUGCCCGUGCAUUGAUCUAGGACUUCCCAGCCUCCAGAACGGUGUUGGCUACCUUUGUGGUUUUAAGAAAGCCUGAGGGCCUGAAGGCAGCCACGGGAGAAGCCCUUUCCGAGGGCAUUCGGAACCUUCCCAUCCUAGAGGUGAAGCUGAACUGUCACCAGGACUUAUGACCCGCGGCUUCGCUCCCAUUCUGCCCAUUGAGUUCCACAAGAUGGGCUCCUUCCGCAGGCCUAGACCGCGCUUCAUGAGCUCCCCCGUACUCAGUGACCUGCCCCGAUUCCAAGCAACUCGGCAGACUCUGCAGCUGAGCUCCAGCUCAGCCUGGAACAGCGUUCAGACUGCUGUGAUCAACGUUUUCAAAGGGGGUGGCUUGCAAAGCAACGAGCUCUAUGCCCUGAACGAAAACAUCAGGCGGCUGUUGAAGAGUGAACUUGGAUCAUUCAUUACAGACUAUUUUCAGAACCAGCUUCUUGCAAAAGGACUGUUCUUUGUGGAGGAGAAGAUCAAGCUGUGUGAAGGUGAAAAUCGCAUUGAGGUUCUGGCUGAAGUCUGGGACCACUUCUUCACUGAGACUCUCCCUACCCUGCAAGCAAUAUUUUAUCCAGUUCAGGGCCAGGAGCUGACUAUCCGCCAGAUCUCCCUGCUGGGCUUCCGAGACCUGGUCCUGCUGAAGGUGAAGCUGGGUGACUUGCUGCUGCUGGCCCAGUCCAAGCUGCCCUCGUCCAUUGUCCAGAUGUUGCUCAUCCUGCAGAGUGUUCACGAGCCCACAGGCCCAAGUGAGAGUUAUUUGCAACUGGAGGAGCUGGUGAAGCAAGUGGUUUCUCCUUUCCUCGGCAUCAGUGAUGACCGUAGCUUCUCAGGCUCUGCGUACAUGCUGGCCAGGCGGCACUCCAGGGUCCGGCCCAAGGUGACUGUCCUGAACUAUGCCUCCCCGGUAACUGCAGUCAGCCGGCCACUGAAUGAGAUGGCCUUGACCCCACUGACAGAGCAGGAGGGGGAAGCCUACCUGGAGAAGUGUGGCAGCGUGCGGCGGCACACGGUGGCCAAUGCCCACUCAGACAUCCAGCUGCUGGCCAUGGCCACCAUGAUGCACUCAGGCCUGGGGGAGGAUGCCAGCAGUGAGGACAAAUGCCUGCUCCUGCCACCCAGCUUCCCCUCACCUCACCGGCAGUGCUCCAGUGAGCCCAGCAUUACCGACAGCCCUGACGGACUGGAGGAGGGGGCCGGGGGCAGCCAGGAGGGCUCAGAGCUGAACUGUGCUUCCCUCAGCUGA